rnacentral:rRNA from 1 species
UACGUAGGGGGCUAGCGUUGUCCGGAAUCAUUGGGCGUAAAGCGCGUGUAGGCGGGCAUGCAAGUCGAGUGUGAAAUCCCUGGGCUCAACCCAGGAACUGCAUUCGAAACUGCAUGUCUAGAGUGUCGGAGAGGGAAGCGGAAUUCCUGGUGUAGAGGUGAAAUUCGUAGAUAUCAGGAGGAACACCGGUGGCGAAGGCGGCUUCCUGGACGAUUACUGACGCUGAGACGCGAAAGCGUGGGGAGCAAACAGG